GGGAAAAAUGGAUUCCAUACCAGGAAAUCCAUUAGACCAGGGAACGGCGUGGAGCUGGCAGCCCAGAGUGGUGGCCAUGUUUUUAAAAAUUCCUCAUUAGGCGUAAUUUCUAAAUUACAAUCAGCAUGGGCAGAAUGAGAAGGCGAGGAUCUGACCAGCUCAUCAGGAUAAUCAGGAGUCUUCAUGACACGGAAAAAUGUGUCCAUUCUUCUCCACCUCUUCAUGCGGUCAUCAUCUCUAAACCUACAUUUCCCGUCGUUUCUGUCAACGGUUGCUCCGUAUUUUGUACUCCUUCACUCACGGGUGUCUACCUACAGGCCUUCUGACUCUGGUUUUCACACUUCCACAUAACUAUUCUAGACAAAGAGAUAGUGUAUCAGGGGGACCUACCUGGUGAAAAUAAAUACAUUUUUA